ACGGGUGAGUAACACGUGGGUAACCUGCCUCAUAGAGGGGAAUAGCCUUCCGAAAGGAAGAUUAAUACCGCAUAAGAUUGUAGUACCGCAUGGUAUAGCAAUUAAAGGAGUAAUCCGCUAUGAGAUGGACCCGCGUCGCAUUAGCUAGUUGGUGAGGUAACGGCUCACCAAGGCGACGAUGCGUAGCCGACCUGAGAGGGUGAUCGGCCACAUUGGGACUGAGACACGGCCCAGACUCCUACGGGAGGCAGCAGUGGGGAAUAUUGCACAAUGGGGGAAACCCUGAUGCAGCAACGCCGCGUGAGUGAUGACGGUCUUCGGAUUGUAAAACUCUGUCUUCAGGGACGAUAAUGACGGUACCUGAGGAGGAAGCCACGGCUAACUACGUGCCAGCAGCCGCGGUAAUACGUAGGUGGCAAGCGUUGUCCGGAUUUACUGGGCGUAAAGGGAGCGUAGGUGGAUAUUUAAGUGGGAUGUGAAAUACUCGGGCUUAACCUGGGUGCUGCAUUCCAAACUGGAUAUCUAGAGUGCAGGAGAGGAAAGUAGAAUUCCUAGU
rnacentral:rRNA from 1 species